GACGGGGGGGGCAAGUGUUCUUCGGAAUGACUGGGCGUAAAGGGCACAUAGGCGGUGAAUCGGGUUGAAAGUCAAAGUCGCCAAAAACUGGCGGAAUGCUCUCGAAACCAAUUCACUUGAGUGAGACAGAGGAGAGUGGAAUUUCGUGUGUAGGGGUGAAAUCCGUAGAUCUACGAAGGAACGCCAAAAGCGAAGGCAGCUCUCUGGGUCCCUACCGACGCUGGGGUGCGAAAGCAUGGGGAGCGAACAGG
rnacentral:rRNA from 1 species